GAAAAAUUGGAUGUAGGCAAGAAUCUUGAGGAGCUGGAGCAGCGGGGAGAUAAAACUCAUGCAGAAGUUGCUUUCUUCCCAGCAGAUUAUGAGUCCUUCAGGAGGAAGCGUGAAGAGGAGCUCAUGGAAAGGUUGGGAGAGCUGUGUGCAAGGCAGUCCAGAGCAGUGUCCCCUCCGUGUGGGAGGCCAUCAGCCAAGCUCUGCUCCCUCCAGGGACAGCAGGACAAUGAGGAUGUUGCCUUGCUGUCAUCCCCACCAAGUUCUCUGAGGAUGGGCAGGAUGAGUUUCCAGGGCCUGCCAAAACCUGCAACUGUGUACAUAGAUUUGAGAGAUGCUGAGCCACCAAAGUCAGUGACAGUCCC
rnacentral:lncRNA from 1 species